GACGAACGCUGGCGGCGUGCCUAAUACAUGCCAGUAGAACGCUGAAGCGAGGAGCUUGCUCUUCUUGGAUGAGUUGCGAACGGGUGAGUAACGCGUAGGUAACCUGCCUUGUAGCGGGGGAUAACUAUUGGAAACGAUAGCUAAUACCGCAUAACAAUGGAUGACACAUGUCCUUUAUUUGAAAGGGGCAAUUGCUCCACUACAAGAUGGACCUGCGUUGUAUUAGCUAGUAGGUGAGGUAAUGGCUCACCUAGGCGACGAUACAUAGCCGACCUGAGAGGGUGAUCGGACACACUGGGACUGAGACACGGCCAAGACACCUACGGGAGGCAGCAGUAGGGAAUCGUCGGCAAUGGGGGCAACCCUGACCGAGCAACGCCGCGUGAGUGAAGAAGGUUUUCGGAUCGUAAAGCUCUGUUGUAAGUCAAGAACGGGUGUGAGAGUGGAAAGUUCACACUGCGACGGUAGCUUACCAGAAAGGGACGGCUAACUACGUG
rnacentral:rRNA from 1 species